UGCCAUGAUGAUAAUGAACUGAAC
rnacentral:piRNA from 2 species